GGAGGAGGGAACCAGUCAGCAUUGCCACCACCAGGCCCCACCACUGACCCUGUGGCCCCUUGGGGUGGUCUCUCUUAACAUUCAGCGAAGUGGCCCAGGAAUGACCUAUUUGCAUUCGGCCCACCUCUGGUGCAGAUGGCGGGAUCCGAGCGUGGGUGAGUGCAGAUGGGUGGCAGGGAGAGGGGGUCUGAGAAGUAGAGUGCUGGGGGGCCAAAACGGCCGGCCGGCCGGGCCAGAGAGGUGUGGAGUCCGGGCUUGCGCGGCUGAACCAAGCGCCACACCCCCAACGCAGCCACCGGGCAGCUGGGUCUCUGUCAGGCGCUCAGCAAAUAUUGCUUAAUGAAUGAAUGAAUGAAUAAAGUCUUUGGAAGACCGCAACA